rnacentral:rRNA from 1 species
AACGCUAGCUACAGGCUUAACACAUGCAAGUCGAGGGGCAGCAUGUUGGUUGCUUGCAACCAACGAUGGCGACCGGCGCACGGGUGAGUAACGCGUAUCCGACCUGCCCAUGACUCGGGCACAGCCGCUCGAAAGAGCGAUUGAUUCCCGAUACGUCGUAUGAGUAGAUCAUAUGAUGAAAGAUUCAUCGGUCAUGGAUGGGGAUGCGUAGGAUUAGGUAGUAGGCGGGGUAACGGCCCACCUAGCCGACGAUCCUUAGGGGUUCUGAGAGGAAGGUCCCCCACACUGGUACUGAGACACGGACCAGACUCCUACGGGAGGCAGCAGUGAGGAAUAUUGGUCAAUGGGCGAAGCCUGAACCAGCCAAGUAGCGUGAAGGAUUACUGCCCUACGGGUUUUAAACUUCUUUUAUGCGAGAGUAAUGUGCGCCACGUGUGGCGUAUUGCAAGUAUCGCAUGAAUAAGCAUCGGCUAACUCCGUGCCAGCAGCCGCGGUAAUACGGAGGAUGCGAGCGUUAUCCGGAUUUAUUGGGUUUAAAGGGAGCGUAGGCGGGUCAUUAAGUCAGUCGUCAAAGCCUGUGGCUCAACCACAGCCCGCGAUUGAUACUGGUGACCUUGAGUGCGGAUGAGGUGGAUGGAAUUCGUGGUGUAGCGGUGAAAUGCUUAGAUAUCACGAAGAACUCCGAUUGCGAAGGCAGCAUACUAAGCCGCUACUGACGUUGAGGCUCGAAAGUGUGGGUAUCAAACAGGAUUAGAUACCCUGGUAGUCCACACGGUAAACGAUGAAUACUCGCUGUUGGCGAUACAAUGUCAGCGGCCAAGCGAAAGCAUUAAGUAUUCCACCUGGGGAGUACGCCGGCAACGGUGAAACUCAAAGGAAUUGACGGGGGCCCGCACAAGCGGAGGAACAUGUGGUUUAAUUCGAUGAUACGCGAGGAACCUUACCCGGGCUCAAACGACAGGGGAAUGGCAGGGAAACCGGCCAGCCGCAAGGCCGCUGUCGAGGUGCUGCAUGGUUGUCGUCAGCUCGUGCCGUGAGGUGUCGGCUUAAGUGC